CUCAGGGAUUUGAGCUUGCAACCUUUCGGUUAUUAAUCCAAUUCUCUAACCACUAGGCUACGCUGCCGCCUCGGCCAGAGGAAGAGCUGUCAUUCAUUGAAGAUGCAACUAAAGAGAGUCCAGCUACAGAAUAGUCUAAAUACCAGGACCACUGAGAGAGACCAGUUACAGAACAGUCUAAAUACCAGGACCACAGAAAGAGACCAGUUACAGAACAGCCUAAAUACCAGGACCACCGAGAGAGACCAGCUACAGAAUAGCCUAUAUUCCAGGACCACAGAGAGAGACCAGCUACAAAAUAGUCUCACCACAAGGACCAAAGACAGGGACCAGCAGCAAAAUAAUCUUAAAGUUAUGACUGCUGAAAGAGAUCAAUUAAAGAUUAGUCUUAACUCAAGGACUAAAGAGAGAGACCAGUUGCAGAAUAGUCUAAAUACCAGGAUCACUGCGAGAGACCAGUUACAGACCAGGCUUAGGUUCUAUGAGGAACCCUGUCUGGAUGGAUGGUGGAAGUUUGGCACCAGCUGUUAUUAUGUCUCCUCCAGGAUGGAAACAGCUGGGGGCAGUCAGAGAAAGUGCAGAACAAUGUGUGCUGCCUUGGUUAUUAUAAACAGCAGAGAAGAACAGGGUUAAUACGGAAUCUGGGAGUGGGUUGGCAAAACACCAUUUAACCUCUACCUAUUGGAUGGAAGGGGAACCAAAUAACUUGAAUGACAAGGUGGCUUGUGUUGAGAUCUCACAGACGGCAUCAGACCCAUUGAAGAAUUGGAAGGAUGGACCAUGUGCUCCUCGAAAAUACUGUGUGUGUGAAAAACCAUUCACACUGUAGUCCAAUUGCAAUAGCAAAUGUAAUUCCCUAUCUUAUAGAGUUGAACUGGUUUUCACUGUGUUAGGCUGAACCUGUUUUUGUUUCUAUGUAUAACUACAUUGAAAGACGUAUUUGAUGUCUUUAAAGAGACCAUGUCUAUGUGGAGUUUGUCCACCAUUCAUCAGGCCCAGGGGAGUGGAACUGUGGAUUCAUAGUCUCUAACUGUGGUUUACAUAUUAUUAUUUUUUACCAUAAUUUACUAUUAUGUUUUUUAAAUGUACCAUUGUGGUGUGCAUAUAAAAAAAUAUCAUUGAAGUUUUUACAGUUAUCAACCCAUUUCAAAUGCAGCAGUGUUCUAUAUUUGUGUCCAUUCUGUUCCAUAUGUAUCAUGUGUUCAUUCUACUGACUAAAUACAUCUAUAUACUGUGA